CCGAGAUAUCUUUUAAAAUAAAUGUUUUUCUCUCCCACGUAUUUUUUAAUCUGGAUCGAUGUCACGGGAUUUAUAACGUCAACACUUUCAAGGGCCUCCUCUUUCUCCACUUUCCCUCCCACUGCCUCCUUCACCCUGUCGUUACAUCGUGUAAACUUACACGAUGUUAUUAAGCAACUUAAGAACACUUAUCGAACGUUAUACAGACGGUGUGCCAAUAUACUUCGUCGUCUAAAGUGAAAGCCCAUUUACAACGUUACGAAGCUCUGACAUUUUACAAUCUCCAGUGAUCAUCUAACAUAAAUGCCAAGAUCAGUGAUUUCUAACAUUUACAUUAUUUUCUAACAACGUUCUCUCUCUAUUCUCGUAUUUUAAUUCAACUAAUUUCAAUAAAAUAUAUUCUAUCAUGGUCCUAGAAAAUAUUAUACUAACAAAUUUAUACCAUACAUUCUUAACAUUUCAUAACGUUAACAUGACAAUUAUAUAAACAAAAAAAAAUGUCAAAUUUAUAGUAUUAUGUUAUCCUGUUUUAAUAAAUUCAAU